GCUGUAACUCAGUGAUAGAGUGCUUGCCUGGCAUGCACAAGGCCCUGGGUUCAAUCCCCAGUGCUGCA
rnacentral:tRNA from 1 species